UCAAUGAAAAGAGUAAAGAACGCACACGCCACACAACCCAACUCAGCCAAAUCUCCGACUCCCAAAAUCACUUCACCUCCUCUUUCUCCAAUCUCGACACACACUACAGCAAAGACACACCAUGCCUCCACUGAAGGCCGUGACCCUAACCCACGUUCGCUACCAGAAAGGCGAUCAGCUUGGUCAUUUCCUCGCCUGGGUCUCAUUGGUGCCGGUCUUCAUCUCCUUAGGCGGCUUCGUCUCUCAUUUCAUCUUUCGUCGCGAGCUGCAGGGGAUGUUUUUCGCUCUCGGACUCAUCGUCUCGCAGUUUGUCAACGAAUUCAUCAAGACAUCCGUGCAGCAAGCCCGUCCGGAGACCUGCGCGCUCCUAGAGAUGUGCGAUUCGCACGGCUGGCCCUCCAGUCACUCGCAGUAUAUGUUCUUCUUCGCCAUAUACUACACUCUCUUGACCUAUAGAGGGAUCAGCCUUUUUGAGAACAAAUUCUUGGUUAAUUUCUUGUCAUGGAGUUUGGCCCUCCUCACGAUGUAUUCUCGGGUUUAUCUCGGGUACCACACGGUGGCGCAGGUGUUUGCCGGGGCUGCGCUCGGAAUCUUUCUCGGUGCGGUAUGGUUUUGGUUUGUGAAUUCGAUUCUCGCUUGUUACUUUCCGGCGAUGGAGGAGAGCAAGUUUGGAAGGAUGUUUUAUAUCAAAGAUACGUCUCAUAUACCUAAUGUGUUGAAGUUCGAAUAUGAUAGUGCAAGGGCUGCGAGGAAGAAUAUGGCUUCUAAGUGCAAUUGACCGAUGAUAUAAUCGUCUCCCAAAAAAAAUCUUCCCAGGGGUGCGUAAGGGAUUUUUGUUUUCUUGAUCUGUUUUGUCUCCUUGAUCUGGGUUUGGUUUGAAGCCUUAAUGGAUGGCUAGACUAAAAGAUGCCAAAUUCAUGUGGAUGAGUUUAAUUGGGAAACAAUUGUGGAAGCUAGCUGGCGGGACUCUUGCUGCUAUUCAGAUCACUCGACAUCAGUGAGGAGAACAUACUGAAUCGCUGCACGAUUUCUGUUUUCAGUGUUAAAAACUGCCAUAGGAAACAUAGUAGUGUAGAUGCUUUAUAUCAGAAACUUCAACAAUUACCGCAUUUUCAAUCAUUUCAAUCAUCUAGGUUCAACAAUUGUGGCUUUGUUUUUUUGCAACUGUUUAUUACUGCUCUUACUGAAUUUACGAGUCCAUUUCCGGUGGGAUC